UCUCACUCUAGCCGGUAUUCCGGUUACAUCAUCUCAAUUAAUCAUCAUCAUCACCACCAUCAUCAAUUAACAUCAACAAUUGUCUCAACUCCAUUGGCUAUUGUUGCAACAGCAAAUUCCCUCCGAUCGGCAUCAGUAACUCCCAUCCCAGCGGCAAUUGUACCAACUGGUCAUCCAGUUACAAUUGUCCAGGCUUCAUCAUCAUCCCAAGAAUCGGUUGCUAAUAGUGAUCUUGGAUCGGCUUGUGUCCCUGAACCCGUCGCUCUUUUAUCAACAGUAAAUGCAAUUCAAUCGGCUGAAGAGAAAACUGUUAUCCAACAUCAUCCAGGUAAUUCUAUUUCCGGUUCUGUACAGAUUAAUGUUUCACCGGUUUUAAUAACAUCCGGAAGUAAACGUUCAUCAAGUUUAACAAUAAGCUCAAAGAUUGACAAUAACCAUGGAACUGUAAUAACACCUUCAUCAGGAGGAGGUUCAGUCUCAACCACCUCAUCAACACCAUCCUCUUCAUCCUCAACCUCAUCCUCAAACAACAACAACAAUCAUACGAAUGCCAGUUCUACAAAUAAUAGUAAUA